UAGGGAAUCUUCCGCAAUGGACGAAAGUCUGACGGAGCAACGCCGCGUGAGUGAAGAAGGAUUUCGGUUCGUAAAACUCUGUUGUUAGGGAAGAAAAAAAGUAUAGUAACUAUAUACAAAAGAGACGGUACCUAACCAGAAAGCCACGGCUAACUACGUGCCAGCAGCCGCGGUAAUACGUAGGGGGCUAGCGUUGUCCGGAAUCACUGGGCGUAAAGGGUUCGCAGGCGGAAAUGCAAGUCAGGUGUAAAAGGCAGUAGCUUAACUACUGUAAGCAUUUGAAACUGCAUAUCUUGAGAAGAGUAGAGGUAAGUGGAAUUUUUAGUGUAGCGGUGAAAUGCGUAGAUAUUAAAAAGAAUACCGGUGGCGAAGGCGACUUACUGGGCUCAUUCUGACGCUGAGGAACGAAAGCGUGGGUAGCAAACAGG
rnacentral:rRNA from 1 species